rnacentral:rRNA from 1 species
UACGGAGGGUGCAAGCGUUAUCCGGAAUCAUUGGGUUUAAAGGGUCCGCAGGCGGAUUUAUAAGUCAGUGGUGAAAGCCCGUUGCUCAACAACGGAACUGCCAUUGAUACUGUAAGUCUUGAAUUCGGUCGAAGUGGGCGGAAUAUGACAUGUAGCGGUGAAAUGCUUAGAUAUGACACAGAACACCGAUUGCGAAGGCAGCUCUCAAAACUGUAACUGACGCUGAGGCACGAAAGCGUGGGUAUCAAACAGG